rnacentral:pre_miRNA from 11 species
AUCAAUAAAAGAGAAUGAAAGACCCCCAGAAUGGGGAAACCCUCACUCAAGUCUCGGGAUAAGCCGACGCCCCAAUAAUUCAAGGGAGACU